ACGUUAUGGUGGGCACUCUAAGGAGGACUGCCGGUGACAAACCGGAGGAAGGUGGGGAUGACGUCAAGUCAUCAUGGCCCUUACGGCCUGGGCUACACACGUGCUACAAUGGUCGGUACAAAGGGUUGCCAAGCCGCGAGGUGGAGCUAAUCCCAUAAAACCGAUCGUAGUCCGGAUCGCAGUCUGCAACUCGACUGCGUGAAGUCGGAAUCGCUAGUAAUCGUGAAUCAGAAUGUCACGGUGAAUACGUUCCCGGGCCUU
rnacentral:rRNA from 1 species